GAUGAAUGCUGGCGGCGUGCCUAACACAUGCAAGUCGAGCGGCAGCGCGGAGAGUUUACUCUCUGGCGGCGAGCGGCGGACGGCUGAGUAACGCGUGGGAACAUGCCCCAAAGUGAGGAAUAACUGCCCGAAAGGGUAGCUAAUGCCGCAUAUGAUCUUCGGAUUAAAGGAUUUAUCCGCUUUGGGAGUGGCCUGCGUACGAUUAGGUAGUUGGUGAGGUAAUGGCUCACCAAGCCGACGAUCGUUAGCUGGUCUGAGAGGAUGACCAGCCAGACUGGAACUUAGACACGGUCCAGACUCCUACGGGAGGCAGCAGUGAGGAAUCUUCCACAAUGGGCGAAAGCCUGAUGGAGCAACGCCGCGUGCAGGAUGAAGGCCUUCGGGUCGUAAACUGCUUUUAUAAGUGAAGAAUAUGACGGUAACUUAUGAAUAAGCACCGGCUAACUACGUGCCAGCCGCCGCGGUAA
rnacentral:rRNA from 1 species